rnacentral:lncRNA from 1 species
GGCGGAAUUAUAGUGCUAUAUAAGGAAUGUACACCAUGUGUUGCUCUCUUUCAUAAUUUUGGAACAGGAGUUCAUCUGAGACCCGAUCGGUAAUGUGAAUAAAGGCCUCUUACUUCCUGAAUACCUGUGUCCAUAUUUCUGUGUUUGGCUUCUGCAUGCUUACACUGCUACAUUUCUGGUGCGUUGGCCGGGAACCUCAUCGCAUGGAAGCUGGCGCAGAGAUUUGAGACGGUAAACUUUUAUCAAAUCCUCUACGCUGCACCCCUGGACUUCUACUGCGUGGACAUCCCUUUAUCUCGGCGCCACUGGCCUUUUGUCCAGGAGAUCAUCGGCUUCUGCGCAGUGAGUACCGUGGUGUUCCGUCGAUGAGUGUGAACCCAGGUCCAGGAACUAACAGGUAAGACUGAUACCGUUGGAGCAAUAGACCCACAAGGGGUUUUAUAUUUGGAACUGGUUAUUGGAAUUGGCUCCUUCAAAUUGGAAGGAAGAAGCGAAGGCGCAACGAUUAUCUGGAAAUUAGACGCUCUGUAGUCAGCCCGUCUAAUAUAGGUGGUAUUGUCAGACUGAGUUCUGGUGUAAAUAGCUCAUGUCGGACACCAAUGUCCUGGCUUGACUAGCAUGCUAGGUGUAAAUUUUGGUUGCUAUCAAGGGGAGAUUGGCGAAACUAAGCAGACUCGGUUGUAUAUUAUAGUUUGCUAGAUUUCACCCUAUUUUAACUAAGUGUGCUCUGUUGUAAAUCCAGCCACUAGAUUAUUGAUAGUGUAAUAGACUAAAAGGGUAUUGGUGUAAAUUCUGCCCUCUAGUUCGCUAUACGUGGUGUCUGGGCAGCGAAGAACUUAUCGAAUCUCUGGUGUACAAAUAGAUCGAAAGCUCUCAAGGUGCUGGCCAGUUAGAAUAGUUGGGAUUAUUGUAAAUGUUGUUAAAUAUAUUGUAGUUGGUGAAUUGGUUAACUUGUAUGUUCUUCUAGAAAGUUAGAGCACUGCCGUCUAGUGGGAGUGUAAAUUGUGUGUAUAACUGUAAAAUAGCGCACAGUACCAUAACUACUGACAUGUACCAUAACCACUGACAUUGUGUAAAAAUUACUAACAAUUGCUGUUUUAUGAUAUAUAGAUAUAUAUAUAUAAUACCAUAACUGUUACUAACUGAUCUGUGACUUUAAAACUGUAUUAUAACCACUUACUAACUGUACCAUAACCACUAACUGUAAAGAUGAGGUUACAAGAAUGUGAUAUAGUUGGUUAGUCAAAAGUUGAUUUAUAGUACGGAUAAUUGUAGAGACGAAAUUGUUGAAAUGUUAUGUGAUCGGUUAGUUUAUAUGGAUUAAUAGCGUGGAUAGUUGUAUGGUUUGAUUAAUAGUUACAGUGAUAAGUAUAUAUAGUGUUUGGUGAGUCAUGAUUUUACUUGUGUGUGUGCGACGUCGUGAUAUUGUUGAGCAUGUGAGGAUCCUGUGUGUGUGUGCGCGUGUGUGUUUGGGCCUAGUAACUGUGCGAUGUGGUACUGGUGAUAAGGAGAUUGGUGUGACUGUUGAAACUGUGUGUAUAUUUGUAAUAAAAUUAAAACUACUAAAACAGGUAACCAAAUAUCCCAAACUCUCAUCUGGCACUCACAGUAUGAAUGUAAGGGAUCUGUAUCUAAAUGUAGAUAUUUGGAUAUUGAUUAUAGUGUGUGCAAGCCAAUAUCAGGAGAGUCUAAAUGUUUCGAUCCCCCAAUUCCAACCCUGUACAAUUUGGUUGGUAAUUAGGAAUAGUAAUUCCCAGGGAACUUUGAUAAAUAGGACUGUGAUAAAUACCAUACAUUCUAUGGAUGUUCUGCUAUUUGAUGCAUGUAAGGCGAUUUCAGGUAGUAGAAAACCUUGGAAUGUAUAUGGUAAUCUUAAAUGGGAACAAACUUAUGGGUUUAGUGAUAAAUACUUAUAUUCCAGUAGAAGAUCUACUGAUCCUGAUUGCCCAAAUAGAGAUUAUAAUUUUUGUCCCUAUUGGUCUUGUGUAGGGUGGGCAACCUGGGAAAAAACAGUGGAUCAAGAUAUGAUUAUCCAAAGGUUGCCUACCACACCAUACUGUAAAUCUAUGGAAUGUAAUCCUGUCAAUAUGACCAUCUCUAAUCCCCAGCAUUUUAUUGACAAAUUUGGAAAUAUUUUUGGGUUCCAAAUAUAUGGCACAGGAGUAGAUCCAGGAACAAUAAUAUAUGUAGGUCUUGAAACUGAGACAGUGGCAACUCAAACUCAUCAGGUUUUCCAUUCCUUUUAUGAGGAGAUGAGUGUUGAGGAUAAAAUUCCCCAUAAUGUUAAGAACCUAUUUAUUGAUUUGGCUGAGAGUAUUGCGGGUAGUCUUAAUGUAACUAAUUGCUAUGUGUGUGGAGGUACUAAUAUGGGAGGCCAGUGGCCAUGGGAGGCAAAGGAAAUAUGGUACCCUGGCUCUGAGACAUAUGAACAACAGAUACCUUUCCAGUCUGAUCAUCAAGUAAGUACUAGAAGUAAAUCAGAAUGGCGGUUUAAAACCUCCAUUAUAGGUCAUGUUUGUAUAGCCAGGAAAGGGACAAUGUAUAACACGCCUGUAGGUGAGCUAACUUGCUUGGGACAAAAAGCCUAUAAUGUUAAUACUAAAAAUACUACUUGGUGGACAGCUUCAAAUGUCUCGGAGCCUACUAAUCCGUUUGCCAAUUACACUCAUUUAAAGCAGGUAUGGUUUGACUUAUCUGCUACAUCUAGUAGGAAAGCCCCAGCAAAUUUAUACUGGAUCUGUGGUAGGAAAGCUUAUUCAGAGUUACCACAAGAUUGGGAAGGGGCAUGUGUAUUAGGUAUGCUCAAGCCAUCUUCUUCUUGUUGCCAAUUGAGACAGGAGAGACCUUGGGAGUUAAGGUUUACGAUGUAACUCAUAAAAGGAAGAGAGCAUCCUUGAAUAUAGGUAGUUGGGAAGAUGAUGAGUCGCCCCCUCAACGUAUUAUUAAUUAUUAUGGACCGGCUACUUGGGCAGAAGAUGGCACUUAUGGAUAUAGAACUCCGAUAUAUAUGCUCAACCGCAUUAUUAGACUACAGGCGGUGGUUGAGAUUAUUACUAAUGAGACAGCUCAAGCGCUUAAUCUUCUAGCUAAGCAAAAUACCAGGAUGAGAUCAGCCAUCUAUCAAAAUAGAUUAGCUUUAGAUUAUCUAUUAGCAGUGGAAGGAGGUGUAUGCGGAAAGUUUAGCCUUAGCAACUGUUGUCUGCACAUAGAUGAUGAAGGUCAGGCAGUGGCUGAACUUACUAGUCAUAUGGUUAAACUUGCGCAUGUUCCGACUCAGGUCUGGAAUGGGUAUAAUCCUAAUAGUUGGUUUGGAGCAACUUGGAGGAAUUAAGACAUUAGUAGGAGGAGGAGUGUUUAUCAUAUUCUUAUGUCUUUUUCUGCCCUGUCUAAUUCCAUUAGUGGUAAGGUCCCUACGUAGUAUUAUAGAGAGCACUAUAGAAAGAAAGACAGCUGCCCAUGUAAUGGCUGUCUGGAAGUAUGAACCCCUAGCCCAUAGAGAGAAUAAUCGGGAUGAGGAAUGUUGAGAGAGCACAAAGUUAAGUUAGAAUGAUUACAAGAUCUGUACUGGUUCAAUGGUUACUUGAGUGGUGUUGGCAGAUUAUGAUUAGUGAUGCAUCUGGAAUAAUGUUAUAUCAGAGGCAUCAAAGGGGGAAAUGUGGUGGGAUUCCAGCAUGGUCAAAAUUUAGUAGGCCAAGAUUUCCAGGUGGCAUAUGUGUAUGUUGUGUCAGUUAGUUAGCUACACGUAUCUAGGAUACUGUCAUCAGUGUACUGAGCAUGUGCAGGAAUGCAGGAACUGAAAUUGCACUUAUUUUCUUUAUCUUGGAUGAGCCAUGUGGUUUGACUAGAUGUACAAGUCUAUAUUCUGCUCAUUGAUUGUUGAAAGGUAUAUGUGGGUGUAGCUAUUAAUGGGAGGAGUUAUAGUGCUAUAUAAGGAAUGUACACCAUGUGUUGCUCUCUCAGAAUUUUGGAACAGGAGUUCAUCUGAAACCCGAUCGGUAAUGUGAAUAAAGGCCUCUUACUUCCUGAAUACCUGUGUCCAUAUCUCUGUGUUUGGCUUCUGCAUGCUUACCCUGCUACAAUAUGACAUUACUAUUUAUAUAUAAUAAUAGCUUGCUAAAGCUUUUUGCCCUAACUGCAGGAUGCUUAUGUCACAUUCAGGGAUUAUUAUUAACUUGGGAAUUUGGGGAAAUUGCAUGAGAGUUUUAAAUAACCACAGAAUUAUACAAUAUUUAUACUAUCUUGUUUGCACCAUAUUUCGUUAAGGUUCUGCAUUUUCUCAGGAAGUCUGCAUGUAUAUUAAUAAAUAUAUAUCACUGAAUGAUAAUCCCUGAAUGUGACAUGAGCAUCCUGUAGUUGCAGUUAGACAAAAACUUUAGCAAGCUAUUAGUAUAUAUAAAUAGUAAUGUCAUAUCCUAGUCUAAGGUUGGAACUGAACAGUCUGUCAUAUAUCGUUCUCCAAUGGCCAGUGCUCUUAUUCUAAUGUCUAUGCACUUGUCUGUCAGUUUUACUUUUGCAGUAUAGGAGCAGUGAUCAAAGCAGGGAUCCUGUAGUGUAAGGAAUACAAAUCUGUCCUUUUAAAGACUUGUCUUGGUAAUAGUCUUGUAAAGGUACAUCAUCACUGAUCUAUGUACUAUAUUAUGUUGCUGCUGUUAAAAAAAAAUAAAAAUUAUUAUUAUUAUUAAUAAAAUGUGUUUACCAUUACAUGUAAAUAUUUUUCUUAUAAAGCUUGUUUUCUUUCAGUAAAAAUGGAAAAGACAUCAACCCAUCAAGUGUCCAUCAGGUCUGCUACAUCUAAUAAAUGUUUAACCUUGAAGCAUGCAGAUCCUCCUAAUGAAGUGGAAGCCAUCGAUUUGACAGAUGAAGAUGACACAG